rnacentral:rRNA from 1 species
GAGAGUGGGUAGUCCGCACGAGCGCACCCUUACUUUUAGUUGCCAUCAUUUAGUUGGGCACUCUGAAAGAACUGCCAGUGAUAAGCUGGAGGAAGGUGGGGAUGACGUCAAGUCCUCAUGGCCCUUACGUGUUGGGCUACACACGUGCUACAAUGGCAUUUACAAUGGGAAGCAAGAUGGCGACAUCAAGCAAAUCCUAAAAAAAUGCCUCAGUUCGGAUUGCACUCUGCAACUCGAGUGCAUGAAGCUGGAAUUACUAGUAAUCGUGGAUCAGUGUGCCACGGUGAAUACGUUCCCGGGUCUUGUACACACCGCCCGUCACACCAUGGGAGUUGGUUCUACCUUAAGGCAAAGCUUAAAACCUUUGACCACGGUAUAGUCAGCGACUGGGGUGAAGUCGUAACAAGGUAGCCGUAGGGGAACCUGCGGCUGGAUUACCUCCUUUCU